rnacentral:rRNA from 1 species
UACAGAGGUCUCAAGCGUUGUUCGGAUUCAUUGGGCGUAAAGGGUGCGUAUGCGGUACCGAAAGUUAGGUGUGAAAGUUCGAGGCUCAACCUCGAAAUUGCACCUAAUACUCCGGUGCUUGAGUCUCAUAGAGGAAUCUGGAAUUCACGGUGUAGCAGUGAAAUGCGUAGAUAUCGUGAAGAAGGCCUGUGGCGAAAGCAAGAUUCUGGGUGACGACUGACGCUGAGGCACGAAAGCCAGGGGAGCAAACGGG